rnacentral:rRNA from 1 species
UGGGGAAUUUUGGACAAUGGGGGAAACCCUGAUCCAGCCAUCCCGCGUGUGCGAUGAAGGCCUUCGGGUUGUAAAGCACUUUUGGCAGGAAAGAAACGUCGCGGGUUAAUACCCCGCGAAACUGACGGUACCUGCAGAAUAAGCACCGGCUAACUACGUGCCAGCAGCCGCGGUAAUACGUAGGGUGCAAGCGUUAAUCGGAAUUACUGGGCGUAAAGCGUGCGCAGGCGGUUCGGAAAGAAAGAUGUGAAAUCCCAGAGCUUAACUUUGGAACUGCAUUUUUAACUACCGGGCUAGAGUGUGUCAGAGGGAGGUGGAAUUCCGCGUGUAGCAGUGAAAUGCGUAGAUAUGCGGAGGAACACCGAUGGCGAAGGCAGCCUCCUGGGAUAACACUGACGCUCAUGCACGAAAGCGUGGGGAGCAAACAGGAUUAGAUACCCUGGUAGUCCACGCCCUAAACGAUGUCAACUAGCUGUUGGGGCCUUCGGGCCUUGGUAGCGCAGCUAACGCGUGAAGUUGACCGCCUGGGGAGUACGGUCGCAAGAUUAAAAACUUAAAGGAAUUGACGGGGGUCAUAGCUGUUUUCCCU